UGGGGAAUUUUCCGCAAUGGGCGAAAGCCUGACGGAGCAAUACCGCGUGAGGGACGAAGGUCUGUGGAUUGUAAACCUCUUUUGUUAGGGAAGAUAAUGACGGUACCUAACGAAUAAGCAUCGGCUAACUCCGUGCCAGCAGCCGCGGUAAGACGGAGGAUGCAAGCGUUAUCCGGAAUUAUUGGGCGUAAAGCGUACGUAGGCUGUUAGAUAAGUCUGUUGUCAAAGCGCGAGGCUCAACCUUGUAAAGGCAAUGGAAACUGUUUGACUAGAGAGAGAUAGGGGCAGGAGGAAUUCCAGGUGUAGCGGUGAAAUGCGUAGAUAUCUGGAAGAACACCAGUGGCGAAAGCGUCCUGCUGGAUCUCAACUGACGCUGAAGUACGAAAGCUAGGGGAGCGAAUGGG
rnacentral:rRNA from 1 species